GACGAACGCUGGCGGCGUGCUUAACACAUGCAAGUCGAGCGGUAAGGCCCUUUCGGGGGUACACGAGCGGCGAACGGGUAAGUAACACGUGGGUGACCUGCCCUCAGCUCUGGGAUAAGCCUGGGAAACCGGGUCUAAUACCGGAUAUGACUCCAUGACGCAUGUUGUGGGGUGGAAAGCCUUGUGCGGCUGAGGAUGGGCCCGCGGCCUAUCAGCUUGUUGGUGGGGUGAUGGCCUACCAAGGCGACGACGGGUAGCCGGCCUGAGAGGGCGACCGGCCACACUGGGACUGAGACACGGCCCAGACUCCUACGGGAGCCAGCAGUGGGGAAUCUUGCGCAAUGGGCGAAAGCCUGACGCAGCGACGCCGCGUGAGGGAUGACGGCCU
rnacentral:rRNA from 1 species